rnacentral:ncRNA from 2 species
AUUCAUCUUCGGGGCAGGGCGAAAUUCCCGACCGGCGGUGAUGAAGCGAAUAAGCUUCUAAGCCCGCGAGCCGAAAGGCAGGAUCCGGUGCAAUUCCGGAGCCGACAGUUAUAGUCUGGAUGGGAGAAGAUGAAG